rnacentral:tRNA from 1 species
GCCUUCAUGUAGAAAUAAUAUGCUCGCAUUUGUAAUGCGUAGGUCGUCGGUUCGAAUCCGAUUCUCGGCUCCA